UGACCAAAGUAAAGGGCAAGAUGUAAGUUUUAAAUCCAAUUGUAUCCUGGCAAAUUCCUUACCUGCUUCUGGCCAGGUUGUGUUUUACCAAAUAAUGACUUGCGGUAUCGUAUCAAGAAAUCGAGAAUUCCAAUGUUGGGCGUGAUUCAUCGUAAAAGAUCGACUACAGAACAAAGAGUCGAUUUGACACACCCUACAACUGCACAUGGAUAUUUACCUUAAUUAAGGAGGUGACCCAGUGAUCAUCUAUCUGACACCAGAGAGGUUGUAUCACUACGGAGCAGAACUAUGGCAGGCAACGUGACCCAGUGAUCAUCUAUCUAACACCAGAGAGGUUGUAUCACUACGGAGCAGAACUAUGGAACGCAAAGUCGAUUUGGAAUUGCGGCAAGCUGUUGGAUCUGGAGAUAUAUCCGAAGUUCGAAAACUUUUGGAAAAAGGAGCAGACCCAAACAAGGUAAAAACUUUACUCCUACAAAGUCGUGGUAGCCAAUAACGUAUUUUAAAUUAAAGCGACCACUUUCCUACCAUCCGUUUUGAGUUAGAUAAAGUGGCUUUGUCAUAACAUCCUUACAAUGUUAGUCUGUUAAACUUACAGACUUUAUUGGAUCGUUGAAAAUAAGUUAUUCUUCAUGUUAACACUAAAAUAAUCGUUUAAUUAUUUCAUCUCUAAAAUAACGAUGUUUAUACACAAAUUAAUAUUUCUUACAUCAAAUAUAGAUAAGUCUCAAUUUUGCAAUAAAUUGUUGGUAGAAAAAGCUAUCUGUUUUACAACAUUACGCCUACCGCUUUUGUUUAUUUGAAGAUUAACCUCACCCAGUCUGCUGUCAGUUCAUUACUGUUGGUUUAAUCUUUAUCUGACCUACUAUGAUAAAUACGAUUUGUUUUAUUCGUUUUAACAAUUUUAACAUAACGUUCUGGGUACUGCUAUAAGCAUUCCGGCAUUUCAAACGUUAAUAAAACAUUUCCAAAGAAGUCAUCUUUGCUUUAGACCGCUCUGAUUCUCAAGGGGUCACAACGUCGUCUGCUUGUGUUUACAGGUCUGACAAUGCUUAUCGGCAGUGUCGGGUUUAAAACAUUGGCCUUAUUUAUAAAAAUACAUAAAUUAUGUCAGAUAAAUAUAUGUAUAUCAUACUAAGAAUAAACCGAUAUGGUUACAUGGUUAACGAUUAGACGUUUCAUCUGAAUGUGAAUAUCACUCCGUUACUGUACUGAAUACUAGGCCUACAUGCUUUUUAGCUCGUCUCUUCGAAGAAGAGUGAGAGCUUAUGUCGUCACUCCGGCGUCGGCGUUGGUUUUUCAAAUGUUAAAUUUUUGGUGCAAGUGUUGAAAGGCACAGUAGUUUAUGGUAAUAUGGUCACUGUUAGGGUCAAACUAUCCCUGCCGGAGUUAAACUAAAAGA